rnacentral:ncRNA from 1 species
AUAUAUUUUAAUCGCCGAGCUGAAACGGCUAAUUCAAAACCUAAGAUUAACGCUUUGUUUUGAAAUGUUGUUUUAAGCCGUGGCUGUCAUGUUGCCCCUGAUGUCAUAACAAGGGCUCAGGCAGCCACCAGGGUUAACAAGGAAACGCGUUAGCCUCCCGACAUUUGGAAAGGUGACAUGUUAACAGACAA